AUUUUUAGGUGUUACUAUAAAUUCUGAUUAAAACUGAGCUUGUCAUUAUACAUAAAAGGAGGACAAAAUCUGUACCACGAUCUUUGAAAUGCUGAUUUGGUCACAAAUGAUGAGAUGGACAAAUCAGUCACUGUGAUAUAACUAAAUGUAUUUAGUAAUUUUGGAUUUGCAGGAAGGUGACCUAACUCCUUCUUCAGUAUGAAAGAGGGAUGUCUUAUUCUCCUUCACUUUGUCCAUCCCACAAAUGCUAAAGCUUCCUUUUUAUAGGCAAAAGGGGAACUGAUAUCACUUCCUGUUCUCCUCUCUGUGUGCAAAUGGAUGAAUACAUGACGGCUGAGCUUCAUCAAAGUUUUCACACAUUUUCCUCUCAGGCUGACCCACAUCAAGACAAAUUUCAGGGUGUCUUCAUUUGGAUGAAAUAGGUAAAAAAAAAAGGUUUGUUGGGAAGGUGUACACAGUGAGGACAUGAAAGCUGUGGUUGGACUGCUGCUAAUGCUGCUCAAAGUCUCUCAAGGUGUGGAGACUCAGUGUGACGGCAGACAGGAUGGAGCUCAGUGUUAUGGAGCUGUGGGAGGAACUGUGGCCCUCCAGCUGAUGGACAGCGCUGUAGGACUAUUUAGAUACAGCUGGAAAUUCAACAACACAAAAACAAUAUUCACUAGGAGAAAGAAUACUCCGGUUAAUCUGACAGACGACAGAUACUCCUUCACUCCCAGCAAUGGAACAUUUAGGAUGAAUAACCUGAGAAGGAGUGAUGGUGGUGAAUAUACUCUGAACAUAUUUGAUUCCAAUGGUACGAACACAGAGAAGCGAACUCUACAGUUGGUCGUUCAAGCUCCUGUGUCCUCUGUCCGGCUGGUCUCUGAGUGUCUGUCUCAGGGAGAGAUGAGGGUGUCCUGCCUCUCUGAAGGAGGGGACAGUCCUCAGUACAGCUGGACUCUGGAUGGACACACACUGACAGAUGCUGAGCUUCUCACUGGACAUAAUGAAACUAACAACAUCACUCUGAAACAGCAUGUUUCAGGACGUCUGGCCUGCUCAGUCAGGAAUCAUGUCAGUGAUGUCCUGAAACAGCAGAUGAUAUCUACAUGUGGCUUCACCUUCAUUAACUGCACCUCUGAUGGGAAACACAUUUCACAGUGGGUGUUUGCAGCUAAUAACACACUGUGUAUUGAGCCGACAACAGCGUCUAUAACAUCCCCGGAGUCUUCCACUAUGGGUAAGGAGACUGGAUUAACAGAGUCAAGUACUUUCACAGCCUUCAAUCAAACUAUGCCUAACACCAGGAGCAAUCUUCAAUGGUAUAUUAUGAUGGCUGGAGUGCUGGGAGCACUGGUAUUUUUCUUAGUGGUUGGGACAACCGCUGUUGUGUGCAUUCAGAAAAAGAAGAAAACCAACUUACCUAAAGAGGAAACAGAUGAGCAGGAAUUGACCUAUGCAGAUGUCCGGAUCCUGCAGCGGCAGGGGUUGCAGGUGAAACAGAGAGAAGAGGUGGAGGUAGAGUACGGCCAAGUCAAGUUCUCAGAGCGACCUCAGCAGAUUGCCGAUGAUGACUCUGUGUAUGCUAAGGUCCGUAAAAACAGGUGAUUCGAAGGGUUCAGUGUUCUUCCAGAGACUGCACUGGGGGGAUUGUGCUUUCACUUAACAUGAUUUCCUGUUGGGAGAGUAGAGCUCAUGAAAGGCUCACAUACACUGGGGCUUCUUUAGUUCCACUGAGUCAUCAAAUCAUUCAGUAUAAAGUGGCCUUUCAUCUUAACAUGUCCAUGCCGUCAUUAGGCGGUGACAUGGAAGAACAAUAAGAAUCACACUGAGUAGUUUUUCUUAUUGUUUAAUUUUAAAAAAUGUAGCUUUUCUUUGUGUUUUCACCUUUCACUCUCAUCUGGAAACAUAUUUAUGUGUAUUUCAUUAUCAAACAAUGUAAACGUUAAACAAUAAUAGUUGAAAUUAAAAGAAUAAAUUAGGUCUCAAUAAUGUGUUUCAUUUUGUUAUCAGUAAUUGGCAGACAUUAAUGAGCAUGCACACCAACAUCUGCAUUGUUACCUAGGCCUGAUUUGAAAUGGAAACUUUACAUCAGAGUUGUAAAGGAGUUGUAUUUGUGACGCAAAUGUACAUGGAUUAUUCUCAGUAUAUUUAUAAAACCCCGGUAGAGUCUGCAUUGCAAAAAAUGAAUAUAUUAACAGUUUAAUAUUAGACUCCACUUUGCUGCCUUCACUUAACUGUCUGUCUCACUUUAAGUUUGUGGCAGAAUGUUUCUUAAUGGAAAUUCAUGGUAAGCAAGUAUUGCUUUCCAUUACGUGAAAACUUCUGCUUUUUAUCUCAACCUUGAAUCUCUUACUUGUGCAAAAUACAUCAGUUGCAGAGUGUCAUCGGACCAUCUGCGACAGUUGAAGGUGACGCAUCCCUUCAAUUGUAUAAACCACCAGAAUUAUGUGUUAUUUGAAUCAUGCUGCUUUUAGAAAUUUGGAGGUAGACUAAAAAUUAAAUGAAUAUUUUUGUUUCCAUUACAGUUAGUUACUAAUCAGUGAGAUAACAGCAGAGGAAAAGGUUGUGCUGAGCAGAUGUAGUAUCAGAGGAAAUAGACAACUCUUCUGAGAGCAUGACAUGCUUAUCAUAUGAUAUCAUCAAACUGCAUUAACUAUUAAUUAAGUCAGUGCCACUGUAUGUUUAAAGACAUCUAACAAAUCGCAAUUUGUGAUAGUGACAAGAUAAAAAACUUCAUAGUGUAAUAACUUCCUUUUUUCAACUUUGUGGUUUCCAUUUAAGAGUAAAUCAGAAAGUGUAAGGACCAACUUUCAAUGUUGAGACAUUAUUAAUAUUCAUGCAAAUGAUUUGAAGCUUAUUAAAAAAGCUGUUCUGAUGUUUUAUAUUCCACUGUUGUCAACAAUUCUCAACUCCUAUAAAUGUUCGUGCUAUAAGAUAUUCACCCAGUUGGUGUUAAACGAAAUGAUGGAAAACUGAAAGUCCGAUUAAAAAAGACUGAUAUGUAAUUUUUAGCUUUUUUAUUUAGUGAUAAACACAUUCACGGUGCACGUUCGGUCAGCUGGUACAGGAGGAUUUCCAUAUUCUACCACUUUCAGGACUCAAAGAUUUUACUGUGUGAACACGUGACACAUCAAAACUUUGAACCUUGACUGUGCAGAGGCUGAUAACUAUAUUUUCCUCUGCAUAGUUCCCUUCCUGAAAGCAGCGCUUUAAUGUGCAUGUGCAUUCCUGUUUUGCGUUUGAUUUCAGCAGACCGGUUGUUACGGCUUGAAACAAAAACCGACCUUAUCUAUAGUGACCCCCCCCUGUACUGACACAUGGGUAAGAGCUCGCUUGUAAUUGGCUCUGCUGGUAUUAGUGUCGAGGGCCAUAACUUUAGGUCUGGUUAUUUGAAUUAUGUUCUGUUGUACGCUCCUGCUACUUCUGCCACAUGCUUUUUCGAUGCUCUCUGGUUUGAUAUCUCAGUGAAGUUUUGGUGAUUGAUUAAUGUGGUUCAAAUAAAGAUAGCUUACAUGUUUGGUUUGGUUUUAUAGUGUGGGGUUAAAGGUCGACAACUGUGGACUACUAUUCAGCUGAUUCACAUUGCCAUAAAAUUGGUGUUUAUGGUUCAUGAUAGCUGCAGUGUCCUUAAAUAACCACCUGAGAUCUGUUUUAGAUGAGGCCUUUGAUUGAAACAGUCGAACAUCUGACUGACAUAAUCUGCUGAGCAAAUGAUUAACAACAUGGAGUAUCUUUUUGCCUUUUCAUUAGUCAGUUCCACUUUGUAUAAUGCAUAAUGAUUUAGGCUUCAACAGUUUCGUAUAUAUGACAGUGUAGUAUUAUUUUAACUGCUUAGUUUUUAAUAUGUAUGUGUCACAGCAGAUAUCGGAGUGUUGUGUCGGAGCUCCCGAUAGUUUUGGUUUAAACGACAAAUGUAUUUUUCUCUAAUAAAAACCAAGAGGUUUUAUCAAUGUUGUGACACAUUCAUGUGAUGUUACCUCACCGUGCCAAGCCAUUAAAGUAUAAAACGUUGACUUUUGAGUGAUGCUAGUUCUUUAGUUUUGUCAGUCUUUGAUUGCUGGUAUGCCUCUGGUGACCCACUUAGAAUGUAAUUUUAUAAUUCAAUUUGACAGCAAAGUAUUGCUACUGCUGAAAAGGGAGCAAAUUCUGACCUUCAAUUUUAGAUCCUGUAGUAGUAUAUAUAUUAAAAUUCAAAAUAAGGUACAGUUUAAAUGAUUAUUUUAUCAACACCCCCGAAUUAACGCCUGUCUUGUGGGAGUUCACCAGUCUUCAGUCCUUUGCCACUGACUGAAUAAAUGUUCCUCUUUUCUUCUUCUCCACUCUUUUUCUUUCUUUUGUCAGUUGUUUUAAUGUACUGUAGCAUAUUAAUGCAUUUUAUUGUUUAUAAGUCACUGUUUUCGCUGCUUUGACUGUGACUGUUAUUGCUAAAUGUCAAAAGAGGGAAAUUCUUCUCAGCACACAAGUUGCACAAGAUUUCUGCUACAGUUCUUUAUUUGGAAAACAAUUUCUGCAAUCCUUGGUGACUCAUUGGCAUUACAUUUACAUUGCUACAUUUGUCCUUUGUCAUUUGUCUAUCCAUUUCUUAAGUGACUUACGAACAGGUAAAUACAUAUAGAGUACCAGUUGAAAAUCUGGACACACUUUUCUCUUCAUUCGAAGGGGAAAGUGUGUCUAAACUUUUGAUUGGUACUGUACGUGUGUGUUAGUAUAGUUCUCUCUGAGGCGCCUGAUGAAGCUUAAUGUCUAUGUUUAGCAACACAAUGACCAUAGAUGCGGUUAAAAAGCAGACAGCUGUUACUCGGGAUGUGUCUAAACACCACAGUGUGACUGACUGAGACCACAUGCACUUGCAAACUAAUUUCCUUUUAGGUCUUUGUUUUUACACCAAACCUGCAACUUCACAUGCUGUGAAAACGAUUCAUACUAUGGUUUAUGCUCAUCUAAAAAUAAAUGUCCUUUCUGUUUGAUACUGAAAUCUGCUGCUUUGACUUUGCAUUUUUAACAGCUGCUUUCACCCGUAACAUUGCGCAAAGUAUCGUUGACUUGUUUCCUAAAUUUGUGACAAUGCUGUUUUUAAGUUAAAUUGUCGAAAGAAAGAAAAUUGUUAUUGGGUUGUUGAACUCAGUGUAAGCUUUUUUUUUAUUAUUAUUAGCAAACAAGAUGAAGAUGGCUGUUAAUUUUCCCAUGAAUUCAUUUUAUUUCCCGAAAAUUCAAGCAGUUUUUGAUA
ensembl:lncRNA